rnacentral:rRNA from 1 species
UACGAAGGUGGCAAGCGUUGUUCGGAUUUACUGGGCGUACAGGGAGCGUAGGCGGUUGGAUAAGCCCUCCGUGAAAUCUCCAGGCUUAACCUGGAAAGUGCAGAGGGGACUGUUCAGCUAGAGGAUGGGAGAGGAGCGCGGAAUUCCCGGUGUAGAGGUGAAAUUCGUAGAUAGUCGGGAAGGAACACCGGGUGGCGAAGGCGGCGAUCUGGGUCGAUACUGACGCUGAGGCGCGAAAGCGUGGGGAGCAAACAGGG